rnacentral:rRNA from 1 species
AUGUUCUCGUCCCAAUCCCUCAGCCGCGUCAACAACAUCCGGACUGCGCUCAUCAAUGCGCAGAAGGGCAACCAGUCCGUUGCCUCCUACUUCGCCUCCCUCCGCGGCCUCGCUGAUGAGCUCGCCGCCGCCGGCAAACCCAUCCAAGACGACGAGUUGAUCUCGUACAUCCUCCAUGGGCUGGACGUCGACUACCAGCCGCUCGUCUCCGCUCUCGAUGCCCGCGUCACGGCUGUCACCCUCGAUGAGCUCUAUGCCAUGCUGAGCAACUUCGAUCAGCGCAUGGCCCAAUUUCAUGGCUCCUCCGGC